rnacentral:rRNA from 1 species
ACGUAGGUGGCAAGCGUUGUCCGGAUUCACUGGGCGUAAGGCGCGCGCAGGCGGUCUUCUACGUCUGGGGUGAAAACCCGGGGCUCAACCCCGGGACUGCCUUGGAUACGGGGAGACUUGAGGAUCGGAGAGGCAAGGGGAAUUCCACGUGUAGCGGUGAAAUGCGUAGAGAUGUGGAGGAACACCUGUGGCGAAGGCGCCUUGCUGGCCGAUUUCUGACGCUGAGGCGCGAAAGCGUGGGGAGCAAGCAGGA